rnacentral:tRNA from 1 species
GGGAGCGUGAGCAUGGCUGGUGCCGGCCGCGGUCUUCAAAACCGUAGUGCGGGCUGGGAACAGUUCGCAGGUGGGUUCGAUUCCCAUACGCUCCCG